GUUAAGCGACUAAGCGUACACGGUGGAUGCCCUGGCAGUCAGAGGCGAUGAAGGACGUGCUAAUCUGCGAUAAGCGUCGGUAAGGUGAUAUGAACCGUUAUAACCGGCGAUUUCCGAAUGGGGAAACCCAGUGUGUUUCGACACACUAUCAUUAACUGAAUCCAUAGGUUAAUGAGGCGAACCGGGGGAACUGAAACAUCUAAGUACCCCGAGGAAAAGAAAUCAACCGAGAUUCCCCCAGUAGCGGCGAGCGAACGGGGAGCAGCCCAGAGCCUGAAUCAGUGUGUGUGUUAGUGGAAGCGUCUGGAAAGGCGCGCGAUACAGGGUGACAGCCCCGUACACAAAAAUGCACAUGCUGUGAGCUCGAUGAGUAGGGCGGGACACGUGGUAUCCUGUCUGAAUAUGGGGGGACCAUCCUCCAAGGCUAAAUACUCCUGACUGACCGAUAGUGAACCAGUACCGUGAGGGAAAGGCGAAAAGAACCCCGGCGAGGGGAGUGAAAAAGAACCUGAAACCGUGUACGUACAAGCAGUGGGAGCACGCUUAGGCGUGUGACUGCGUACCUUUUGUAUAAUGGGUCAGCGACUUAUAUUCUGUAGCAAGGUUAACCGAAUAGGGGAGCCGAAGGGAAACCGAGUCUUAACUGGGCGUUAAGUUGCAGGGUAUAGACCCGAAACCCGGUGAUCUAGCCAUGGGCAGGUUGAAGGUUGGGUAACACUAACUGGAGGACCGAACCGACUAAUGUUGAAAAAUUAGCGGAUGACUUGUGGCUGGGGGUGAAAGGCCAAUCAAACCGGGAGAUAGCUGGUUCUCCCCGAAAGCUAUUUAGGUAGCGCCUCGUGAAUUCAUCUCCGGGGGUAGAGCACUGUUUCGGCAAGGGGGUCAUCCCGACUUACCAACCCGAUGCAAACUGCGAAUACCGGAGAAUGUUAUCACGGGAGACACACGGCGGGUGCUAACGUCCGUCGUGAAGAGGGAAACAACCCAGACCGCCAGCUAAGGUCCCAAAGUCAUGGUUAAGUGGGAAACGAUGUGGGAAGGCCCAGACAGCCAGGAUGUUGGCUUAGAAGCAGCCAUCAUUUAAAGAAAGCGUAAUAGCUCACUGGUCGAGUCGGCCUGCGCGGAAGAUGUAACGGGGCUAAACCAUGCACCGAAGCUGCGGCAGCGACGCUGAUGCGUUGUUGGGUAGGGGAGCGUUCUGUAAGCCUGCGAAGGUGUGCUGUGAGGCAUGCUGGAGGUAUCAGAAGUGCGAAUGCUGACAUAAGUAACGAUAAAGCGGGUGAAAAGCCCGCUCGCCGGAAGACCAAGGGUUCCUGUCCAACGUUAAUCGGGGCAGGGUGAGUCGACCCCUAAGGCGAGGCCGAAAGGCGUAGUCGAUGGGAAACAGGUUAAUAUUCCUGUACUUGGUGUUACUGCGAAGGGGGGACGGAGAAGGCUAUGUUGGCCGGGCGACGGUUGUCCCGGUUUAAGCGUGUAGGCUGGUUUUCCAGGCAAAUCCGGAAAAUCAAGGCUGAGGCGUGAUGACGAGGCACUACGGUGCUGAAGCAACAAAUGCCCUGCUUCCAGGAAAAGCCUCUAAGCAUCAGGUAACAUCAAAUCGUACCCCAAACCGACACAGGUGGUCAGGUAGAGAAUACCAAGGCGCUUGAGAGAACUCGGGUGAAGGAACUAGGCAAAAUGGUGCCGUAACUUCGGGAGAAGGCACGCUGAUAUGUAGGUGAAGUCCCUCGCGGAUGGAGCUGAAAUCAGUCGAAGAUACCAGCUGGCUGCAACUGUUUAUUAAAAACACAGCACUGUGCAAACACGAAAGUGGACGUAUACGGUGUGACGCCUGCCCGGUGCCGGAAGGUUAAUUGAUGGGGUUAGCCGCAAGGCGAAGCUCUUGAUCGAAGCCCCGGUAAACGGCGGCCGUAACUAUAACGGUCCUAAGGUAGCGAAAUUCCUUGUCGGGUAAGUUCCGACCUGCACGAAUGGCGUAAUGAUGGCCAGGCUGUCUCCACCCGAGACUCAGUGAAAUUGAACUCGCUGUGAAGAUGCAGUGUACCCGCGGCAAGACGGAAAGACCCCGUGAACCUUUACUAUAGCUUGACACUGAACAUUGAGCCUUGAUGUGUAGGAUA
rnacentral:rRNA from 1 species